ACGGGUGAGUAAUACAUGAGCAACCUGCCUUUCAGAGGGGGACAACAGCUGGAAACGGCUGCUAAUACCGCAUAACGUGCGAGAGGGGCAUCCCUUUUGUACCAAAGGAGCAAUCCGCUGAAAGAUGGGCUCAUGACUGAUUAGUUAGUUGGGCAGGGCAACGGCCUACCAAGACUGCGAUCCAGUAGCCGGACUGAGAGGUUGAACGGCCACAUUGGGACUGAGAUACGGCCCAGACUCCUACGGGAGGCAGCAGUGGGGAAUAUUGGGCAAUGGGCGAAAGCCUGAACCCCAGCAACGCCGCGUGAAAGGAAGAAGGUCUUCGGAUUGUAAACUUUCUUUUAUGAGGGACGAAGGACGUGACGGUACCUCAUGAAUAAGCCACGGCUAACUACGUGCCAGCCGCAGC
rnacentral:rRNA from 1 species